AUUGAACGCUGGCGGCAUGCCUUACACAUGCAAGUCGAACGGCAGCACGGGAGCAAUCCUGGUGGCGAGUGGCGAACGGGUGAGUAAUAUAUCGGAACGUGCCCAGUCGUGGGGGAUAACGCAGCGAAAGCUGUGCUAAUACCGCAUACGAUCUAUGGAUGAAAGCGGGGGAUCGCAAGACCCCGCGCGAUUGGAGCGGCCGAUAUCAGAUUAGCUAGUUGGUGAGGUAAAGGCUCACCAAGGCGACGAUCUGUAGCGGGUCUGAGAGGACGACCAGCCACACUGGAACUGAGACGCGGUCCAGACUCCUACGGGAGGCAGCAGUGGGGAAUUUUGGACAAUGGGCGAAAGCCUGAUCCAGCAAUGCCGCGUGCAGGAUGAAGGCCUUCGGGUUGUAAACUGCUUUUGUACGGAACGAAACGGUGAGCUCUAAUACAGUUUGCUAAUGACGGUACCGUAAGAAUAAGCACCGGCUAACUACGUGCCAGCAGCCGCCGUAA
rnacentral:rRNA from 1 species